rnacentral:rRNA from 1 species
GACGAACGCUGGCGGCGUGCUUAACACAUGCAAGUCGAACGAAGUGGCGCACGGGUGAGUAACGCGUAAUCAACCUGCCCUUCAGAGGGGGACAACAGGUGGAAACGACUGCUAAUACCGCAUACUGAAGGAGGGGAUUGCGUCUGAUUAGCUAGUUGGAGGGGUAACGGCCAACCAAGGCGAUGAUCAGUAGCCGGUCUGGGAGGGGGGACGGCCACAUUGGGACAUGGGAACGGCCCAGAAUCCUUCGGGAGGCCGCAGUGGGGAAACUUCCGCAAUGGACGAAAGUCUGACGGAGCAACGCCGCGGGAGUGAUGACGGCCUUCGGGUUGUAAAGCUCUGUUAAUCGGGACGCGGUACCGGAAUAGAAAGCCACGGCUAACUACGUGCCAGCAGCCGCGGUAAUAC